GAAUAAUCAAUAUAAUAUCUAAUUAAUUUAAAAACUGAAUUAACAUACAUUAACAUAACUAUUAAUGGCCCUUUGAUGAGCGUGGACUACCUGCUAUUCCUACAUGUUGGAAUUAUGCUGGACACAAGCAGGAACUUUUAUCCUUUGAAAGAAAUUCCGUGGAGCAUUAGGGACAUGAGCUACAACAAGCUUAGUGUCUUCCAUUAGCACAUAACAACUCGCAUUCGUUUUUCCACUAGAGUUACCUUCAAAGUCGACUCUGGCACAAAAGCGAUCAUACCCUGGCAUGACAUACAAAACAAGAUGUGCAUACCAUAAUCAAACAUGAAGGAAACCAUGGCAUCUGUGCCAUUCCAGAAAUUGGAAGAUUUAUGGAAGACAUGGUGGAUUUGUUGCGUUAGCAAGAAAAAGUGACAAAAUUUGUCUAGAAAAAAACUCUGAAACUCAUCACAGUUUCGUGGGGUUUCAUCCCGGGUGAACCCACAGAGAGAUUCAAGAACUUUGUUCGUAUCCCUUGCCGAACUGAAUCCGGGAUCGAUCGAACUGGUGGUAGAAAGAGAGAGAGCAGUGAUAUAACACGACAAUUCAAGAAUUUUGAAGUUUGGUGCUGUCACCACUGUCAUGAUUAAUUUAAUUGCUGCUGUAGUGCUGUCAUGAUAUAUUUAUUGCUGCUGCUAUAAUGCUGUCAUGAUAUAUAUAUAUAUAUAACAGUCUCUUUUGAAUGUUAUGAACAUUUUGUUAUAAAACAUUAUUUAAAAUUGGUUUUCAGUAGGGGAUGCCUUGCCAUUCCUGGGACAGUCAAGGGAUGUCCGAGACGUCCCUGGCCACCUUGGGGAUGGCCUGGUGUCCCCGAUUUUGGGGAUGUUUCUUCGCAUUUUCUCUGUUGGGGGGACAACCAGGGGAUGUCCCCUAGAGUCACCCUGUCCCCGAAAUGCCUCGAGGACGGGGGUGGUGGUUUGAGGGGUGGGGAUGUGUCCCCGUGUAACAUAGGAUUUACAUUAAUGUGACAUAUAAUAUCAAGAAGACUCAGUGAGUAAACAAAAACCUCAUGAAUAGGCAAACACGGGAAGGAAAAUGGAAUUGUCUCGAGUUCAACAAGUCUUUGUGAGGCAAAUAUUAUAGAUGUUAAUUGUUGGAUUUUUUAUCUCUAAUAUCUUGAGAAGGUACCAAUAAUCUAGAAUUUAGUGUUUGAUAUUUUCAGAGAGAAGUUUUUAGUCAAGUUCAUUUGCUUUUAUACUGAACAGAUCAGUUGUAUUCUCGGUCAAAUGCCUCAAAAAUUAUGAGUUUUAGUUUGAUUUAAUUUGUUUUGAAAUGAAUUUUUUCCUGAAUACUUGGAUUGUUUAUUUAGAGAAGCUGUACAAAUUCCUUGGUAAGUAAGGUAUAUGAUUCAAUUUAAAUUUUUAUAAUGAACUGGAAUCCGUAUAAAAUGGUUUUAUGAUUGGUAAUAUCUUCAAUGAGUUCGUUAUAGGUUUUAGAAUUCAUAAUAAAAAAUCAGAAUGAGAUACAAUUCAAGAAACAGCAUAACAAUACCUCAUUUAAAUAAGGAUUAUGCUCAUAAAUUGAAGACACAAAAAAGUGAAUUCUACAUUUAUAUAUGCCAGCUAAUUAUCAGACUUGUUCAUGUCUGUAAAUGCCUUUUUAAGGUUUUAGUCUCAUUCAACUUGGAUUGCAAGUGAGGAGGAUGUAUUCCUAGAUUUGAAGAUGAGAAAUUAUGUCUGUUUUCAUCUCACUGAUUGCCUACUUGUCCAUUCAAGCCUGAAUGACUAUCCACUAGUACUGCAGUGGUCAACAUUUUAGUCACUAUAUUACAUUUUGGCGGGUACUGGUUAAUUCUGAGUCAUAUGAAGACAUCAAUGUUUGAAGUGGCAGCUCUUUCUUUCACAUGCAUUUGCAAACAUAUCUUUAGUGUUUGUAACCCACUCAUGAAUCUUCAGAUUUAUGAGCCUGGACAAAAUUCCUUCCAUCUUCAAUUCAUUUAUUCCUUGUUUGGCAGAGUAUCCCCAUCUGCAUCUUUCCUUUGAAUUUCCUGUGUAAUUUUUUUUUUGGAUCGGUAAUGUCUUUUUUAUACUGGAGUUUCUAACCAGCGAGGGCCACAUUUUGGGGACCCCCUUCCUGGUGGUUACAAUUGCGAGGUAUUAACACCUCCAAUUUUAGCUGCAUUGUUCCUUGAAACUCCUUAUCCUCCAUCUAUCUCUCUUUAUCGCUCCACUUUAAUCUCCUUAUCACUCCAAUCCAUCUCCUUAUCGCUCCACUUCGUCUCCUUAUCACUCCACUGCAUCUCCACAUCUCCUUAUCGCUCCAUAUCAUUGGCCCCCUUAUCAGUCCGCUGCCCUAUGACAGGGCUAUGUCGAAUCAAUCUCAUGUACGUGGCCCCUGUCUUCUUCUAACCCCAAUGGUCUGCAGGAUCGCCCGUGUGCUGUGCAGGGAGACCAGCCUGUUGUCCGCCAAUCAUCCGCUGAGCAUUUACCUUGGUGUCAACACCCUUCAAAAUCACGGCAAGUGUGCCAACAUCGCAACAGCCUGCAGAGUGAGUCGAACCUUCGACCUCACCAUUCCGGGGCUCGUGACAUUACUGUCACGCUGCGGGGUGAACCCCCUUUUUGUGUAAUUUUUUCAAUUUCUAAGAUCCAGAGGAAAUACAAAUGGCUUUCCCUUCAUUUCUAAAGUAAUAAUAAUUGUGAUACCUGUUCUUGGGUCACCUGAGCCGUGCAAAAACGUACUAGAAGAAUAGAGGGGUUUAAUGAACUUCUUGAGCAUGGUUUUCGAUCCACAUCGACUGCUUCCAAGAUGCUUUUAUAUAAUUUGUGGAGAACCCUGAAGGGCAGUCCUCAUGAAAGAAUUAUCUCACAAACUCCAACAGGAGCAGAGCCUUACGGUAAACCCCGAACUCCAGCUUUUACAGACUGAAAACAGAAUUAGGAAAGAAAAAUAAAAGACAUGCAGCAAUUGGAAUCACAUUAUUGAUAAUUAAAUGUAAUUUGAUUUGAUUUAUUUUAAUCAAUUUUAAUGGUUUAUAUGACCAUAAUUGUCACUUAAUAACAUUAACUAACACACACUUCAAAAUAAUGAACACUUGAGAAAAGCAAGAAACAAGUUGUUGCAGGUGCGAGUAGAAGAGACAUGAAGGCUCUGGAAAGUUCUUGAUUAUCAUGGAUUCAUUCACUUUCACUAUCCUGAAAAACAGAAUAAUAUGGUUUAUUAGGCAGCAAGCAGGUUUCUACUUUGUCAGUAGGCUGAAUUUGGUGGACUUUAGGGCUGAUGAAUCUCCAGGAUGAAUUUGCAUAUUGAAUGAUCCAUCACUUAUAGACAUGGACAAACAGGCAGAUUGAAUGGAUAUGAAUUUGCAUGAAUGUGAGGAUGUUUUCACCUACCACUUAUAUAUCAGAGGACUUGGAGUUAACCCAUUUCAACUUUCAGAUAAAACAUCAUUUAUAUCUCUCAGCAUUUGAUUGUGACCUGAUUUGUGUAACAAAGCUCCUUGGGCACUUGUAGUGAACACUAGUAUUUGAGUUUGUCCAUAAAGCUGAAUGUAGCAGUUCAUUAUGUUGUUUGAGGUUUCAGAGCAAGGAAAGCUGUGGUAGCACAGUAGAAGUCUGAUUCAAUCCUACAGUGUUUUUGAGGUUCCAUGGGACAAUAGUUGGAUCGAUUUUCGUCAAUUAGGUAACCUGAUUUGUGUAAAUAAGGCAGUCGGUAGCAUGUAAGAGGUAUCAAGGAUUGGGCUAUAUUUGUACAGCUGAGUGUAGUACAUAAUUAUGUUGUUUGAGUGAGUUGCAGAGCGAAGUAAGCUUGUGAGAGCAUGGAGGAAGAGCUGAUUCAGUUACGGACUACCGCGUUCUUUUGGUUUCCAUGGGAGCGAGUAGCUGGUCCAUCUUGCUUAUUUUGGUUGAGGCGAGGAUGCAGAGUCCCAAGUAUCUGGAAUGUUCUACAUUGGGCUUCGCCAUGGUCAGUCAGAAAUAUAACCCCAGAUUCAGAACAAAGCGUCUUGAGUAUCCAAACAAAGACCUUGGGAGUGAUUUUCAAGAGACAAAACAGAUUUGGCCUCGAGAACUCCAACUCCUCAAUGUUUUGAUUUUCUAAAAUCAUUGACAACUUCACAGGGAGAAAAAACUGAACUGCAAGGGCUUCCAUGAUAUUUCUUCUUUAGUUGCUACCUCUUGGAUUAUAGGUGCAUGGAUUCCUUGUUUUAUAUAUUGACAAUUGUCCUUAUUAUUCCUUAGGUCAAGUUGAUGCUGAAGUUUGCAACAUUUUUGCAUGUAAUAUGUUUCUGCAACGAGUACGUUAAUUCCCGUGCAUACUCUCAGACAACUUCUACUUGCUUUGCUUGUCAUAUUUAUGUCAGCAGUGAGCACAACUUUCUUUUGUAUUUCAAUAGCUUGCUUUUAUCUUUGGGUUACUUGGUAAUGUAUUACUUUUUCAAA